rfam:Triticum urartu cultivar G1812 contig1032864, whole genome shotgun sequence.
GAAGUACUUUCUCCGUCCGGAAAUACUUGUUCUUGAAAUGAAUAAAAUGGAUGUAUCUAUAACUAAAAUAAGUUCAGACACAACCAUUUAGAGGACAAGUAUUUCCGAACGAGGAGAGUAAUAU